CGCCCCCUUUUCACUUUGCCAAUUUGACUUUUUUGUCUUUAUUGGUCAUUCAAGUGGGGCAAAGGAACUAUCCUUUUAAAACUCAAGCAAGCUGAGUGUUUGUCUUGUAACCUGUCAGAGGAAACAAAC
ensembl:snoRNA SNORA27 small nucleolar RNA, H/ACA box 27